ACGGAAGGCAGCAGUGAGGAAUAUUGGUCAAUGGGCGAGAGCCUGAACCAGCCAAGUCGCGUGAAGGAUGAAGGUUCUAUGGAUUGUAAACUUCUUUUGUUCGAGGGUAAAGUGAGGGAUGCGUCCCUUAUUGCAAGUAUCGAACGAAUAAGCAUCGGCUAACUCCGUGCCAGCAGCCGCGGUAAUACGGAGGAUGCGAGCGUUAUCCGGAUUUAUUGGGUUUAAAGGGUGCGUAGGCGGGAUGUUAAGUCAGCGGUAAAAGCGUGUAGCUCAACUAUACCAAGCCGUUGAAACUGGCGUUCUUGAGUGUAAACGAGGUAGGCGGAAUGUGACGUGUAGCGGUGAAAUGCUUAGAUAUGUCACAGAACCCCGAUUGCGAAGGCAGCUUACCAGCAUACAACUGACGCUGAGGCACGAAAGUGCGGGGAUCAAACAGGAUUAGAUACCCUGGUA
rnacentral:rRNA from 1 species